AAAAUUGCGGACGACAUGUCUAGGGAGAUCCCCACAGGAGGACCGAAGCAGUUCUGACGUGCAAAUAGAUUGUCAGAAUUGGGCAUAGGGGCGAAAGACCAAUCGAACCAUCUAGUAG
rnacentral:ncRNA from 2 species